UGAUUGCCCCAGUAACGGCGAGUGAAGCGGCAAAAGCCCAUUUUGGUAAUCCUUCGGGAGUUGUUGGGUGAAGUCGGAGUGCCCUGUUUGCCUGGUGCCGAAGUGUCCUGGAAUGGAACGCCGUGGAGGGUGACAGUCCCGUAGGCGCUGGGUGUUGCGUUGGGUGCCCGCUUUAGAGUCGGGUUGUUUUGUAUUGCAGCCCUAAUCGGGAGAUAGACUUCUUCUAAGGCUAAAUAUGUGUGGGAAACCGAUAGCGAACAAGUACUGUGAAGGAAAGAUGAAAAGAACUUUGAAAAGAGAGUCAAAAGACUUGAAAUUGUUGAGAAGGAAGCGGUAGAAAUUUAUUCUUCGGCUUGGGGUGCAGGUUUCCGCUCUGGCGGUUGCUGAAGCCCAGGUUGAGAGGCAAGAUGGGGCGUUCUUCCCUGAUGAGCUGUUUAGGUUUGGGCUGGUUCGCUAGUCAGCCUUUUCGUGCUCGGGGGAGGGCCGUCUGAGGGUGCUUUUGCGAUUUUGCUUAAAUGGUUUUUACCGACCCGUCUCGAAACACGGACCAAGGAGUCUACCUCAUGUGCAAGUGUGCUGGUGGUAAACCGACACGCGUAAUGAAAGUGAUUGAUGCCAACUUUGCAGCAUCGACCAACCAUGAUCCUCCGGUGAAAGGUUUGAGUAGGAGCACAUGUGUUAGGACCCGAAAGAUGGUGAACUAUGCCUGAGUAGGGUGAAGCCAGGGGAAACUCUGGUGGAAGCUCGCAGCGAUUCUGACGUGCAAAUCGAUCGUCAAACUUGGGUAUAGGGGCGAAAGACUAAUCGAACCAUCUAGUAGCUGGUUCCCUCCGAAGUUUCCCUUAGGAUAGCUGGGACAAUUACGCAGUUUUAUCAGGUAAAGCGAAUGAUUAGAGGUAUCUGGGGUAAUUUGCCCUGGACCUAUUCUCAAACUUUAAAUUGGUAAGUACUUCGGCCUGUCUUAAUUGAGGUUGGAGGUUCAAUGCAUGUCCCUAGUGGGCCAUUUUUGGUAAGCAGAACUGGCGAUGAGGGUUGCUCCUAACGUCGGGUUAAGGUGCCUAACUGCACGCUCAUCGGAUCCUACAAAGGGUGUUGGUUCAUUAAGACAGCAGGACGGUGGCCAUGGAAGUCGGAAUCCGCUAAGGAGUGUGUAACAACUCACCUGCCGAAUGGAUUAGCCCCGAAAAUCGAUGGCGCUUAAGCGUGCGACCGAUACUCGACCAUUGUAGCGAGAGUUAGGCUACAAUGAGUAGGAGGGCGUGAACAUCGUUGCGAAGCCUUUGGCGUGAGCCUGGGUUGAACGGUGUUUAGUGCAGAUCUUGGUGGUAGUAGCAAUUAUUCAAAUGAGAACUUUGAAGGCCGACGUGGAGAAGGCUUCCGUGAGAACAGCAAUUGGUCACGGGUGACUCGAUCCUAAGACAUGGGGGAAAUCCUUGUUAAGUGUAGCGUAUGCUGCGUAGUCGAAAGGGAAUGAGGUUAAUAUUCCUCAAGCUGGAUGUGGGUGUUGUACGGUAACGUAAUUGAGCUCAGUGACGCCAGUGCGAGCCUCUGGAAGAGUUCUCUUUUCUUUUUAACAGGCUAGUGACCUUGAAAUUGGUUUACCCAGAGAUAAGGUGGCAUGCCUGGAAGAGCACCUUGCUUUUUGAGGUGUCGGGUGCGCUCGCAAUGGCCCUUGAAAAUCUGAGUGAGAUAGCUUCACACCAGGUCGUACCCAUAACCGCAUCAGGUC
rnacentral:rRNA from 1 species